UACGUAGGGUGCAAGCGUUGUCCGGAAUUAUUGGGCGUAAAGAGCUCGUAGGCGGCUUGUCGCGUCGAAUGUGAAAACUCGAGGCUCAACUUCGAGCUUGCAUUCGAUACGGGCAGGCUAGAGUUCGGUAGGGGAGACUGGAAUUCCUGGUGUAGCGGUGAAAUGCGCAGAUAUCAGGGAGGAACCGAGCCGGUAGGCGGAAGGCGGGGUCCUCU
rnacentral:rRNA from 1 species